rnacentral:misc_RNA from 1 species
UUUCCGUAGGUGAACCUGCGGAAGGAUCAUUACAGUGUUCCCUGCCCUUCGGGGUAGGCUCGCCACCCUUGAUUAUUUAUGAGUGUUGCUUUGGCGGGCCUCGCGGCCUGGCCGCGCCCCGGCUUCGGCGGGGGAGCGCCCGCCAGAGGAUUCUACAAACCUGAUUAUUAGUGUCGUCUGAGUACUAUAUAAUAGUUAAAACUUUCAGCAACGGAUCUCUUGGUUCUG